rnacentral:lncRNA from 10 species
CUUCUGCUGGGGGCAUGUGCAGGCAUGGAGACUGCCCGGCCCCUUCCUGUCCUGUUGGGGCAUGAUUUUCAACAGAGGGAGGAUUCUGGGCAUGUUUUCCUUUGGAAGUCUCACCAGGCUGAGCAGGACUUAGAGGAACUCCGGCUACGUUUGCUGUCCCAACAAAUAGACCAGGGUUCCCUAAGUGUCGCUUCCUCCAAGAAGCCCUCCCUGAUGAGUUGAGCCACUUUAGUUUGUGCUCAGGCUCACCCUGCACGUCUUGGUUGCUCUCAUCACUGUAAUGAUCUAAAACACACGUCUGCUCAUGAGACCCGCAUCCCACCCCCGAUGCUGGGGCCGCUCUUGGAUUUUCAUGCCUGCUGCCAGCACCCAGGGGGAGCUCCGGAAAUGUCUGCUGGGGGCUCGGAAUACCCACCUUUCUGGUAAUGCAGCCCAGCGGGUCCCAGCCUCGUUUUCCAGCCCUCACUCAAAAUGGAGUCGCUCUGGUUCGAACGCCUCUGACAAGUGU